AAACACAUCUCUGAGGAGUAUACAGCAAUUCUGUUCCCCAGGAGCCUAGACAAAAACAGAAUCUUGCGGAAGUCUUGGACAAUGUGUCUCAGACCGCACUAGAACAUGUGACUUGUGCAAAACUCUAUAGAGUUUAGUAGCACCUCUCUCUGUGGCACUGAUGGCAAGCAUGAUAAUUUUAGUGUCAGCUUCCUCACUGGGACUACAGAGCAACUCCACUGAACACUGCGAGGUGGUAGCUUCAUUAUACAAUGCAACGACUGAAGUCUUUGAGCAAUUCUUCAUAUGCUGGAGCAUUUUUCCUGCAAGGUUUCUGGCUUACCACAGAAGCAUAUGUUCUGCUUGAAAUGCAUGCCGUGUGACCUAGUAUAAGAGAUGGAGAAACAGACACUGAGUGGCUGAUUUUUCAGAGGUGCUGAGCACUUACUGUUAUAAGAGCACUGAAAGAAGUGGGUACUAGAUGGGUGGCAUACAAAAAUGGAUGUCUCUGACCUUAACCUCAGGGGAGCGUGUUAUGCCAAGAGGUAGAGGGAGAAGAACACGCAAUCCUUUACCUCAGCUGGAAAUUGUUCGGCCGGGAAGUUAUGUACUCAAUAAUAGAGAAGGAGGCCUUGGCAGUAAUAUGGACUAUUGAAGCACUCUGCUACUACUUAUGAGGACAGACAUUCCAUCUCGUGACGGAUCAUGCACCUCUGUGAUGGCUGAACACCAUGAAACGCCAUAACCCGUGGAUUAUAAACGGGUACCUCAAUGCAGCUGUACAAGUUUGAGGUACUACAGUGAGCAGGACGUGAUCAUAAGAACAUGGGAGUUCUUUUCGUGGGACGGAGGAGACCCGUCUGCACAGACUCCAGUGCCCAGCCUGAGGGGGAGAGUAUGUGAUGAGGUUGUUUACAGACCCGACACUAGGGUUAAAGGAGUACUGGAACAGUAUUGGGCCAAGCAGGCCCUGACCUUCUGCAGCUGCUGGGCAUGCUUCCUAUCCUAUGGAGGACCUGCUUAAAAGGGAGGCACGCAGGAGAGUGAAGGAGAGACGGGCAGACAGUGACAACUGAAACAGAGCAGUCUGCAGGGGAAGGACUGGGACUGAGAGUAAGACUUGGCUGGGGCCCUGCCCUUUUUUUUCCCCUUCUCCCUGAAUAGUAGGAUCAACUGGACUCUGAGUGAGCUGGGAAGCCUCCACUUGGGGCUCUGAAUUACUGAGACUGUGCAAGAAGAAAGCUGGGGCCACGCCACAAGCUGAAGGAAAAACUGCCAGGAAAGGUAAGGAGGCGGCUGGGAAGGCCAAUUUGGAGCGGCACCCCCAAGGACUGAACCACCCCUCGCCUCUCUCCCACUGGGCCAGAAUCAAGUGGAAAGGGAGGGCCAGGUCCCCCUAAAGAUCUCUCCUCCCACUGUCUGCCUGAGAGAGCCUAGAGCACUCCGGGUUGGGGGUGGGCUUUGUGACGAACUGGGACUUGGCUGCCAGGCUACCCAAACGGCCUGGAAGAGCUAUUCCAACACUCAGAGAGACUAUUUGGCCAUGGCCUGAGCACUAGGCCUCAAAGUGAAACCCACUACAGUGAGAUUUAAAACAAGAGAACCAGUAGGAGGAGGAGAGCAGUCCCCUGACUGCUAUAGGAGUGGUAAGAAACUGCUUCUGGACUGACUGCACUGCACCAUGGAAGGGAAUCCCAGCACUGUGGUGUGACCCUACAAGCCCUAAUGUGGCAUGGAGGGAUGAGGUGAACAGGGUGGGCUGAGCACACGUAUGGCAGAAAGGGUAGGCAGAACUGCACAGGGCAGUUAGAAGUACUCCAUGCUCAGCACAAAGAGCCAGGACCUGCACCCUCAAUUCCUGCUGUAAAAAGGGGACUGUUGGGGGAGAGAGGGACUGUG